rnacentral:rRNA from 1 species
AGAACGAACGCUGGCGGCAGGCUUAACACAUGCAAGUCGAGCGCCCAGCAAUGGGAGCGGCGGACGGGUGCGUAACACGUGGGAACAUGCCUUUCGGUACGGAACAACUGCGGGAAACUGCAGCUAAUGCCGUAUACGCCCUUACGGGGAAAGAUUUAUCGCCGAAAGAUUGGCCCGCGUCUGAUUAGCUAGUUGGUGAGGUAACGGCUCACCAAGGCUUCGAUCAGUAGCUGGUUUGAGAGAACGACCAGCCACACUGGGACUGAGACACGGCCCAGACUCCUACGGGAGGCAGCAGUGGGGAAUCUUGGACAAUGGAGGAAACUCUGAUCCAGCCAUGCCGCGUGAGUGAUGAAGGCCUUCGGGUUGUAAACCACUGUCGAGGGGGACGAGUAUUGACGGUACCCCUGGAGGAAGCCCCGGCUAACUACGUGCCAGCAGCCGC